rnacentral:rRNA from 1 species
AGGCAGCAGUAGGGAAUCUUCCGCAAUGGACGAAAGUCUGACGGAGCAACGCCGCGUGAACGAUGAAGGCCUUCGGGUCGUAAAGUUCUGUUGUUAGGGAAGAACAAGUACCGGAGUAACUGCCGGUACCUUGACGGUACCUAACCAGAAAGCCACGGCUAACUACGUGCCAGCAGCCGCGGUAAUACGUAGGUGGCAAGCGUUGUCCGGAAUUAUUGGGCGUAAAGCGCGCGCAGGCGGUUCCUUAAGUCUGAUGUGAAAGCCCCCGGCUCAACCGGGGAGGGUCAUUGGAAACUGGGGAACUUGAGUACUGAAGAGGAAAGCGGAAUUCCACGUGUAGCGGUGAAAUGCGUAGAGAUGUGGAGGAACACCAGUGGCGAAGGCGGCUUUCUGGUCAGUAACUGACGCUGAGGCGCGAAAGCGUGGGGAGCAAACAGGAUUAGAUACCCUGGUAGUCCACGCCGUAAACGAUGAGUGCUAAGUGUUAGAGGGUUUCCGCCCUUUAGUGCUGCAGCAAACGCAUUAAGCACUCCGCCUGGGGAGUACGGUCGCAAGACUGAAACUCAAAUGAAUUGACGG